CGCGUAGGUGGUUUGAUAAGCGAGAUGUGAAAGCCCCGGGCUUAACCUGGGAACGGCAUUUCGAACUGUCAGGCUAGAGUGUGGUAGAGGGUAGUGGAAUUUCCUGUGUAGCGGUGAAAUGCGUAGAUAUAGGAAGGAACACCAGUGGCGAAGGCGACUACCUGGACCAACACUGACACUGAGGUGCGAAAGCGUGGGGAGCAAACA
rnacentral:rRNA from 1 species